rnacentral:rRNA from 1 species
GGAAUAUUGCUCAAUGGGCGAAAGCCUGAAGCAGCAACGCCGCGUGCGCGAUGAAGGUCUUCGGAUCGUAAAGCGCUUUUCUGCGAGAUGAGAAAGGCCAGUAUCGUAGGAAUAAGUCUCGGCUAACUACGUGCACGCAGCCGCGGUAACACGUAGGAGGCGGGCGUUAUCCGGAUUCACUGGGCGUAAAGCGCGGGCAGGCGGUUCGGUAAGUUGGGCGUGAAAGCUCACGGCUCAACUGGGAGAGGUCGUCCAAUACUACCGGGCUAGAGAGCAGAAGAGGAAGAUGGAAUUCCCGGUGUAGUGGUGAAAUGCGUAGAUAUCGGGAGGAACACCAGUGGCGAAGGCGGUCUUCUGGUCUGUUUCUGACGCUCAGACGCGACAGCUAGGGUAGUAAAC